rnacentral:lncRNA from 1 species
UGCCUUCCGUGGGUGAUGAAGCAUUGAAAUGUCAAGUCUGUGGAGGUCUUCAUCCUGGAGAUUUUCCUAAUGUUUGUUUAGAUCUUGACCACUUUCUGGAAGAAUAUUUUCCAGCAGAAUAUGAAUCAAGACGCAAGAAACUUCAGCUUGAGAAUAGCCAAUGCAAUCCUGAAGGAUCAUCUUCAAGUAAGCCUUUUUUUGUGUAGCUCAGACUCACAUAUCAUAUAGCUCUCUACCUUAACAACAUAAUGCUGUGCAUCAAGUUCAUCAUGCUAAUUGUGAAAUUGGUGUUUGACUUACUCUGUUAGCUAAAUGUGAAUGCACACUUUUAAGUUGAUUUGUUUGUCCGGAGGUAUCCAUAUUGACAGUUUUCGUCCGCUAUUAAUUUUUGUUUGUUGGCUACUUGCACUUGUUUUUAGCAGUGCCUUAUUUUACCUUCAACUGUUGUGUUGUCACUUAAUUGAUCAACAAACAUUAACCUUAACAUAGUUGUGUUAAUAUGAAAUACACUUUUAUAGUGUGUGUCAGGAACUCAUUGAAAUAAAAAUUGAAGGAGUAUCUAGUUUGUUUUAGCGAUACUUCAUAUAAUGAUCUACUUCCAUGUAUUGUUGAUUUAGUCUUCAAAAUAUUCAUUUAGGAGGGAUUUCCGGCAUUAGUCAAUGUCGUUAAUUUUGUGCACACUGAGAAGCAUGGUGUGGUUACUGAUAUGUCAAGAACUAUUACAGUUGGUCAUUGGUUAUAUAGGUUAUUCUGUAUCUACAACCCUUAAAAAAGUCAGAUCCAAAUUUGAAAUGCACAUGGUGAAACUAAAAAGACAAAUCCAACAUGAAUAGUGUCACAAAAAGACAAACGCAGAAACUACACUAUUCACACCUUGAUUUGUCUUUUUUGUUUUGUGAUGUGUAAUUCGAAUUUGGAUCUGAAUUUUUUAGGAUUGUAGACACAUAUCAUGUGAACAUUAACAAAAAAGAAAACCCAAAACUACCCAUGUACACUGUACCCUACAAAUUUCUGAAGAACUAAAAGAAAUAAUUAGAUCCCAUAUACAAUUAUGCUAGAUUGUUGAAACAAAACAGUAGCAGAGGCCUACUCGCACCCCUGUGGUGUCGAACCCCUGUACCUGUUGCUGUUUCAAGCUGUGUGGGCAAUUUCUACCACAAACUGUGGUCCCUAAUCAGACAUAAGUUCAGCUGCAUGUUUCAAAUAUAAUGAUAGAUAUAGAUAAUGGGAGAAUAUCUGGUGCUCCCAUCCAUCAAAUGCUUCCAUGCUCUCACAUUUGAGAACUCAAUUUAAAUGUUUCAAAAACUUUGAGUUUUAUCCUUGAGUCACAGAAUUACUUAACCUUCAUGAAGUGCAACUUGACAUCUUUGUAAAUUAUGUUAUGAAAUGAAGCACAUGCCUGAUCCAUUUUUUUGUACAUGAUUCCUGUGUUUUGUGUGGUUCAGGUACUUCAUGCAAGAAGGGAACUUUUGUACAGAAGACUCUAGACUUAUCAAAUGUUCACAUUGGAGUUGGAUGUGACUCAUGCGGGGUAUGUUCAAGUUGUACAAAUUAGAAAGUCCAUAACCUUGCUAGUAAUUAGUCAAGCUGGCAUACAUUCAGUUGAUAAACCGUACCAAUGGAGCCACCAUUGGUAGAUAAAAUGAUUUCUUGAACUUAAGAAUUUUGAAAUGAUUUGCUGAGUAUGCAUCUUCAUUUUGUUGUCCUCUUGGUGUUAUUGUGUAAAUCUUCCAUCAAGUUACCCAACGAAUAAAAAGCCUAUCCAGGUAGCCCAUCUAGUGUUAGCACCUAUUCCCAAUUAGUCUUUUUAAUGAAUUUUCCCAUUCCAUUAAUAAAUUUGUGCUCCAGUAUCUGUUUUAUAACGUUUUUUUAAUACUCCAUAAACACAGUUUUACCUUUUAUUUGAAGAUAUUGCUCUAAUGUGAAAGGUAGUUCUUAAUUCAAGUGCGGGUUGACGAAUAACUAGAAAUUUGGUUGCAACAUUAGUAUUGUUUUCAUUCCAAUUUUUAAAUUUAUGUGCUCACUGUUCAGUAACCAACAUUAGCAACCUUUGUGGUCUCUUAAACCUUCUUCUAAUAUCUUGUUACAUACAAAAGAAAAAACUUAUGCAAAUCAUAGUGGGAGGUAUUGAUACGCAUCCAUGUAUCCUAGCUUCAUUUCCCAUGUCUUGAGUUACUCUGAUCCUUUUGGGCAAAAUUGGAUUGAUGAAUGCUUUGCAGGUCUAUCCGAUACGAGGCAAGCGAUACAAAUGCAAGGAUUGCACAGAGGCAAUUGGAUUCGACCUUUGCGGGGAAUGCUACGACAGCACUUCAAAGCUCCCAGGCCGCUUUAAUCAGCAGCACACACCUGACCACAGGAUGGAACUCGACAAUUCAUCACUGUUUGACGCGUUCCUGAGAUUCCAAGGGAUACCCGCGGAGGGUCUGCAGCAGCUGGUACAACAAAUGGAGCUCAUUGGUGCUGGUGGCAUGGUGCAGUUAGUGGCUGAUGAUGAAGAGAUGGAGGACAAUCAUGAGGAUGCUUAGUUGCUGUAGGAACCAAGCAAGCAUUUCUAGCAAAAGCUGAUUUGGGGAGCGAGCCUUGAAAUAUUGUGGUGAUCGGAUUAAAUGAAUGUAGCGUGCUCCAUUGUCCUUGAUUCCUUUUGGGUCCGAAGGUCAAUUAGUCUUGUUUAUGCUUUCGUACAUUUAUUUAUUACUGUAUUAUAUUAGUCUUCCAUCUAUAUAAUAAUAAAAAGAAAUUAUAUAUCGGUCU